CGGUAAUUCCAGCUCCAAUAGCGUAUACUAACGUUGUUGCAGUUAAAAAGCUCGUAGUUGGAUUUCUGAUCUUUGCCAAUGGUUGUGUCGCCGCGCGCGAGGCGCCUUGCGCAGAGGUCAACAUAUGUCACGAGCCAGUGUGAUCUAUUCAUUUAGGUCCACUGGGUAAUGACUCGUUUACUUUGAGAAAAUUAGAGUGUUCAAAGCAGGCAUUUGCCUUGAAUAUGUUAGCAUGGAAUAAUAGCAUAGGACUUCGGUUCUAUUUGUUGGUUGUUCGAGAACUGGAGUAAUGAUUGAUAGGGACGGUUGGGGGCAUCCGUAUUCUCAAGCGAGAGGUGAAAUUCUUGGACCUUGGGAAGACGAACAGCUGCGAAAGCGUUUGCCUAGGACGUUCUCUUUAAUCAAGAACGAAAGUUGGGGGAUCGAAGACGAUCAGAUACCGUCGUAGUCUCAACUAUAAACUAUGCCAGCUAGGGAUCGGUGGGUCUUUGUCACGAGUCCAUCGGCACCUUACGAGAAAUCAAAGCAUUUGGGUUCCGGGGGGAGUAUGGUCGCAAGGCUGAAACUUAAAGGAAUUGACGGAAGGGCACCACCAGGAGUGGAGCCUGUGGCUUAAUUUGACUCAACACGGGAAAACUUACCAGGUCCGGACAUAGUAAGGAUUGACAGAUUGAAAGCUCUUUCUUGAUUCUAUGGGUGGUGGUGCAUGGCCGUUCUUAGUUGGUGGAGUGAUUUGUCUGGUUAAUUCCGUUAACGAACGAGACCCGCGCCUGCUAAAUAGUCGGCCUCACUUCUGUGGGUGUUGUACUUCUUAGAGGGACCAUCCUGGGUAUACCGGAAGGAAGUUGCGGGCAAUAACAGGUCUGUGAUGCCCUUAGAUGUUCUGGGCUGCACACGGGCUACACUGCAAGAUACAACAAGCGUCGAUCACGCCUGACUGGAAGGUCCGGCCAAUCUUUGAAUAUCUUGCGUGAUUGGGAUAGACCAUUGCAAUUAUUGGUCUUCAACGAGGAAUUCCUAGUAAACGCGUGUCAACAACACGCAUUGAUUACGUCCCUGCCCCUUGUACACACCGCCC
rnacentral:rRNA from 1 species